rnacentral:misc_RNA from 1 species
AAUGCGCUGCGGUCUCUGUCUAUUGAAGAGACAAGAAGUUACUGCAAAUAUUCCAACAGCUCGAGCAAAAGCAUUGCUUUAGUUGGAUCUUAUAUUUUUUCAUUUCUUCAUUUAAUUUUCUGUAUUGAAAGGAAAUGAAAACAAAUACUUUAUACAUAGCUGGACUGGAUCCAAGUAUUGAUGAGGCUACAUUGCAAGCAGAAUUCGAAAAGCAUGCUGUUAUAGAACGAGUGACUGUCAUCAAGGAUAAAGUAACUAGGGAGUCAAAAGGUUUUGCAUAUGUAAUGUGUGCCAGUCAUAAAGAUGCAACAGACGCAAUGAAAGAGAUGGAUGGGAGGAUAAUUGCUGACAAACCAAUUAAAGUAAAAUACUCGACUAGUGAAACACCUGAUUGGUUAAAUGUUCUUCAAGAUCGAGGUGCUGGAGCUACUGGAGUUUCACCUGGUAGAGGAGGUCCGUUGAGAGGCAGAGGUGCUUUUCCAACUAGAGGUUCUCCUAGGGGAAAUGGUUUAUCUAGGGGAGGAGGGUUUUCCAGAGGUGGUGGAUUUUCUAUGAUUAAUGCUGGACCUCCUCCAAGAGGUGCAGGUAUGUCUGGUAGAGGUGCUCCAAUGAGAGGAGGUCCUCCAAAUUUACGAGGUAAUGCAGGAAUGCAACAUGGAUUUGGUGAGAGAAGGUUUGAUUCACCCAGAGGACCUCCUCCUUUCCUUGAUUCUCCAGAUCCAAGAUCAAUGCGUCGUCCUGGGCUUCCAAUGGGAGAAUUAGAACCUCCUAGUAAAGUUCCACGAAGUGGGGACUCGUUUAGAAUGAUUGAUGAUCGCCAUCCACCUAUGCGUCAACCAUUUGGUGAGCAGGCUCCACCAAGACAACCUUUAGAUACCUACGCACUUGGUCCUCGAAGAGAUGACAGAGGAAGUUAUAUGGAAGCACCGAGAGAAUCAUUUGCUCGUGAUCCUUAUAUUGAUAGAACCAGGGAGUCUUAUGAAGCGCCAAGAGAUGUGUAUGCUCCUAGAGAUUUGUAUGCUCGGUCUGCUGCUCCUGUUGAUAGAAGUUUAUUUAAUGAGAGACCAGCAGCUGUUAGUGGGGCGUACAGUUCCCCAGCAUAUGAUAGAUAUGCUCCCUCCCAAGUUUCACGAGAUCGAGAUCCAUACGCUUCUCCAAGAGAUCCAUAUGCUGCUCCUAGGGAUCCUUAUGCCGCAAUUGCAUCUCGAUCUGCUGAAGAUACCUUUUCAAGAACCCCACAGCGUGAUACAUUUAGAAAUGGAAGAGGUUCUCCUCCCUCAGUUAGAGGUGGUUUUGAACUAGGAAGGAGAGGGUUUGAGCCAGCACCAAGUAGUUAUGUUGAUUCUGCUAGAGAUUCUUUUGCUCAAGAACCUAAAGCUGUUAUUAGAGGAACCGAAAGAUGGUCUGGUGAUCCUUAUUCUGCGUAAUUUUAAGAUGGGUUAUCAUGGUACAACUUGCUUGAUUUUGAUCAGUUAUCAAAUUUUUGAAUAAUUACAAAUUGUUGGCGUCAGUUCAGGCAUAUGGCGGAAGAUUAUCCGGGAUUAAGUCAAACCUUAUAUUUCGUGUUUUGUUACUUUUAAUAAUAAUUGUGAUAAACAAUUCGGAAUAAGUAAUGAAUGGAAUUUCUAUUUGAAUAAAAAAAGACUAUUAAA